GUAGUCCACGCCGUAAACGAUGGAUGCUAGUAGUGUGGAGUAUCGACCCUCUGCGUUGCGAAGCUAACGCGUUAAGCAUCCCGCCUGGGGAGUACGGCCGCAAGGCUAAAACUCAAAGGAAUUGACGGGGACCCGCACAAGCAGUGGAGCAUGUGGUUUAAUUCGAUGCUACGCGAAGAACCUUACCAAGGCUUGACAUCCUAGGAACCUUCUAGAAAUAGAGGGGUGCCUUCGGGAGCCUAGUGACAGGUGUUGCAUGGCCGUCGUCAGCUCGUGUCGUGAGAUGUUGGGUUAAGUCCCGCAACGAGCGCAACCCUUGUUGUUUGUUGUAUUUUUCAAACAAGACUGCCCGAGCCAAUCGGGA
rnacentral:rRNA from 1 species